AUACCUAUUGCAUUUUGAAGGCCGAAAAUGUUUUAGCCCUAAAAGUCUAAAACUCAUGUCUUCUUCCUUUCGUUUGGUCCGAAAUAGCAACAUCAGUAUAUCACGGCACCAGGCCACCACCUAGUCACAUACUCUGCCUUAUUCCUUUCGUUUCCUGGUAGCUUUUCCGGUAAGUCUUCGGUUCCUCAACAACUUAAACAGAAACUCAAUUUGCACCUACAACUCUUAUGUACUCAUCAAUACUUGGCGUUGACUUAAUUGCAUCUCAACAUUAUUGAUCUAAAUCAGUAUUUCGGCUAUGUCUCUCCACUGCACGCAUUACUCUGUUCUGAAUUUUAGUCUUCCAUUUGAAGGAAUAUAAUGUUAGUUAUACUCCGAUGCUUCAAAUUGCAAUAGCGUUUUGGUAUAUUGUCUGUUGAGAUUUCCAUAUCAGUAUUGAAUUCUAUUCCCAAUCUUUUCUGGCGAGAAAAAUUAAAUUUACAGAUGAGGUCUCUGUCAAUAUCUGUAGUUGAUUAUGUUGUAUGAGUUGAACUCGGUGAUGAACUUUUGAUUUUUUUUUUUUUUUAUUAUUAUUAUCUGUUGUGCAUUCUGAUAAUGCUAGUUGACCUUAUGUGUAAAAAGAAACGCGAGUGUGAUCGUUUCAUUUCACUAAAAGAUAAUAGUACAGAUAAAGGAAAUCCGAUUCUUUGCCAAAGAAAAUGGACUCUGAAGAAAUAGAUAAUAGAGCGUCUAAAAUCCAGUAUUUGAUUAGGCACUGAUAGAGUCACCAAAUUGCUGCAACACAUGAUACAACCAUGAAUGAAAAUGCCACCCACGUAACCAUAUAAGCUGCUGCUAAUAUCAGCUUCAAUGGCUUUCUCCUAAAACGAAUAACACCAACUAACACUGCAACAAUGCAUAAGGAUGCAAAGAAUGCAAUGUGAUUGCUGAUUGCAAAGAUCUUGAAUGCUCGUUUUUUGCCCAUAACUGAAUUGCCUUGGUAGACACCACGGGGAGGGUUCAGACCAUUUGUGAAUGCAAUACUGGCUAUCAAGAUUGCAACUAUUGUAAUUCUUCUCCUUGCAUUUUGUAGUGCUUCUUGUUGCAAUUUUAUGUUCUGUUUUUUUGGGUUUUUCUUGUGAGCUUUGAUAUGUUUUUCUUCUUGUUCGGUAGUUUGACUGACCAAACUUGUAUAUCUGUUUAUCUCGUGUCUUUUAUUGUCUAGAAUAGUUGCUUCAAAGUGAAUUUCAGGUAGGUUCAUGGAUGUUGUAGGCAAUUCAGUUUGAUAUAGAAUGCCCCUAUGAUUCCCUACAAUUUGAUGAUUGAUUUUCUCUUCUGAUUCCCGGUUGAUAUAUUCUGAAAACUGCAAUAAAAUCAAAUGAUCAAGGUUAGUGAUAUAAAACAAAGAAAAUCCGAACACUACUAGAACUAGUUAGGCCAUUUAUAUUUCAAAACAAUUGAACUAGUAUUGACUUACAACACAUGAACUGAUAAACAUCUCCAUGCAUGCAUGAAUAGACUUGAUCAUUUUAUGUUUAAUAAAUCAAGAGUGAUGUUGGUUUAUACCUGGUUCAAACCUCCAAUAUGAGCAAGAUGUUGGAUGGUGUUACCAAAUCUAUCGGGUUGAUAAAACAUGUAUGUUGCUCCCUUGAGGACGCCACCUACAAAUUUGAAGGCAUCAAACUGAUUGAAUCUUAUGGUAAGAUGGAACAAAUUUUCUCCAUGUUUAGAGAGAGUCUGGAAGGAGGAAGGAGCAACGGAUGCAAACUCUUCCAAGAUGGCUAGCUUCCCAUGUAUAGCUGCUACAUGCAACGGUGUGUAACCGCUGUUAUCAAAUUGAAAAGCUUGGUAAUUAGAAUCCAUCCUUAGAAGCAUUGAUGUAAUCUCCAGUUGCCCGCUUCUACAAGCACCAUGCAAUGCUAAAGAUCCAUUUCUAUCUUUUUGAUUAGCAAGAUUCGGACAUCUUUCUAGCAACCUUUUAGCAAUAUCUGUGUCAUAUAACUUUUAUUAGUACAACAUUACAUAUAAUAACAAUUUAAUUUUUAUACUAAUAUGGGCUUAUUUUUUACCCAUAAUAACAACUUAUUAAUUAAUAAGUUUUUACUCCUAUCACCGUUGGUCUAACGGUUAAAAACUGUUAUAACAGGUAGAAAAGUCAAAACUUAAAAGGUUUCAGGAAAAUAUGCAUGAGGUAGGUGGAUACCUGGUUGGCCUCUUGAGGCAGCAGCAUAGAGACAAGCUGCAUGGUCAAAGAUGUUCAACAACCAUAAGGAAGUGUAAGUGUG
rnacentral:lncRNA from 1 species